GGGCAGGGAGCAAAUGCUUUUAAUUAUAAAACAAAACUGAAAUUUGUUGUUUUGCAGAAAAUGUGCUCUCACUGGCCAGAGUAAGUCCUGUAAGCACAGAAUUAAACUAGGGGACUCAAGCAACUAUUACUAUAUUUCUCCUUUUUGCAGAUACAGGAUCACUUCUGUGUGUAACUUUUUCACGUACAUUCGAUACAUUCAGCAGGGACUCGUGAAACAGCAGGAUGUUGACCAGAUGUUUUGGGAAGUUAUGCAGUUGAGGAAGGAGAUGUCGUUGGCAAAGCUGGGAUAUUUCAAAGAGGAACUCUGACGCCCUGCAUGGGGCCAUGUGUGCUCCUCCCUGGACAACUGAAGAAUGGCGGGACAUUGUUAUGGUUAAUAUUUAUUUCCGAGGAGAGGACCCAAGACUGACGUCCUCUUGCACAUCACACUAAGAAGCGCUGUGAUUUCUUUGAGAGCGACUGAGCUGUACUUACUUAUCCCUUAAUGGAACACACUAUGAAGAGUUGCAGGUGUGCUAGUGAUGGUAACUCAACACUGCAAAUCAAAAGCACCAAAUAAAUAUCAGACUGAG